rnacentral:rRNA from 1 species
UACGAAGGGGGCUAGCGUUGCUCGGAAUCACUGGGUUUAAAGGGUGCGUAGGCGGGCAGGUAAGUCAGUGGUGAAAUCUCCGAGCUUAACUCGGAAACUGCCAUUGAUACUAUUUGUCUUGAAUAUUGUGGAGGUAAGCGGAAUAUGUCAUGUAGCGGUGAAAUGCUUAGAUAUGACAUAGAACACCAAUUGCGAAGGCAGCUUACUACACAAUGAUUGACGCUGAGGCACGAAAGCGUGGGGAUCAAACAGG